ensembl:lncRNA
UGUGUGUGUGUGUGUGCAUAUGCAUGUGAAGCACAUUUUGCAAAACAAACAGCUCUGAAUGUUUUCUCAUCCCCUCCUCAUGUAAAUUUAUUGAGCUUAGCUGUACUUCGACCUCCAUCUGCAAUAUAUGCAGGCAAACACACACACACACACACACACACACACACACACACACACACACACACACAAGCGCAUGCUCACACACAUUUCCAUCUCCCAGAACGGAAACUGCAGGUGUAGCGUUCUCGUCAUGUGCUGUUUUUUAACUGCGUACUUUCUCAUCACUGUCACUGUUUAUACAUUUAGUGUGUGUGUGUGUGUGUGUGUGUGUGUAUAGACCCUGGGUUUUUCAGUCAUAUCUUGUUCUCGGUGAAGGUUGUAGACUACAGUAUGUUACUAUGCACUCAGCUGAUAUUCGUUAUGAAUGAAAAUUCAUCCUACUUUAUAUUAGUAAUCAGUAAUCAGAUUUAAACCAGAAGUGGUCUAUGUCAGAAAGAGUUGUUGUUGUUGUUGUUGUUGUUGUUGUUGUUUAAACGUGAACACUACCACUAUGCACUGGAAACUACUGAAAACACCAACAUUUUUAAUUCACAGAUGAUAACAACAAAUAGUUGUAAUAACUUCCGGAACUCCUGCAGCAGACCAGACACCCCGGAACCUUCUGGGAAGCCCUGUGGAACGUUUAUUUUUAGAUUUAAAGCCCUGUGGAACCAUCUGGAAAGCCUUGUGGAACCUUCUGGAAAGCCCUGUGUAACGUUAAUUUUUAGAUUUAAAGCCCUGUGGAACCAUCUGGGAAGCCCUGUGGAACCUUCUGGAAAGCACGGUGGAACCUUCUGGGAAGCCCUGUGUAACGUUAAUUUUAGAUUUAAAGCCCUGUGGAACCAUCUGGGAAGCACAGUGGAACCUUCUGGGAAGCCCUGUGGAACCUUCUGGGAAGCCCUGUGGAACCUUCUGGAAAGCCUUAUGGAACCUUCUGGAAAGCCCUGUGGAACCUUCUGGAAAGCCUUGUGGAACCUUCUGGAAAGCCUUAUGGAACCUUCUGGAAAGCCCUGUGGAACCUUCUGGGAAGCCCUGUGUAACGUUAAUUUUUAGAUUUAAAGCCCUGUGGAACCAUCUGGAAAGCACAAUGGAACCUUCUGGGAAGCCGUGUGGAACCUUCUGGGAAGCCCUGUGGAACCUUCUGGAAAGCCCUGUGGAACCAUCUGGAAAUCACAGUGGAACCUUCUGGGAAGCCUUGUGGAACCCUCUGGAAAGCCCUGUGGAACCUUCUGGGAAGCCUUGUGGAACCUUCUGGCAAGCCCUGUGGAACCUUCUGGGAAGCCCCGUGGAACCCUCUGGAAAGCCCUGUGGAACUUUCUGGGAAGCCUUGUGGAACCUUCUGGAAGCCCUGUGGAACCUUCUGGGAAGCCUUGUGGAACCUUCUGGAAAGCCCUGUGGAACCUUCUGGGAAGUUUUCUAUCUUCUGUCUAAUGUGACUGAUUAAGCAGAGAACUAUUUCAUUGACGACAAAAGCCACCUGAUGAUAUUUGGAUCGGAUUUAUGAUCUCCGGUUUUUUGGGGUUUGUUACAGAAAACAGAAUAUGGGAAAUAAUUCCUGUAUGACAUUAACGAGAAGAUAUUAUUUUAAUAACGGUUUAAUCAUUUAUGAACGACGAUAAACAUGCGAGGAAAUGAAUGAAGUGAUUAUUUU